GACGAACGCUGGCGGCGUGCUUAACACAUGCAAGUCGAACGAAGAGCGAUGGAAGCUUGCUUCUAUCAAUCUUAGUGGCGAACGGGUGAGUAACGCGUAAUCAACCUGCCCUUCAGAGGGGGACAACAGUUGGAAACGACUGCUAAUACCGCAUACGAUCUAAUCUCGGCAUCGAGGAAAGAUGAAAGGUGGCCUCUAUUUAUAAUCUAUCACUGAAGGAGGGGGUUGCGUCUGAUUAGCUAGGUGGAGGGGUAACGGCCCACCAAGGCGAUGAUCAGUAGCCGGUCUGAGAGGAUGAACGGCUACAUUGGGACUGAGACACGGCCCAGACUCCUACGGGAGGCAGCAGUGGGGAAACUUCCGCAAUGGACGAAAGUCUGACGGAGCAACGCCGCGUGAGUGAUGACGGCCUUCGGGUUGUAAAGCUCUGUUAAUCGGGACGAAAGGCCUUCUUGCGAACAGUUAGAAGGAUUGACGGUACCGGAAUAGAAAGCCACGGCUAACUACGUG
rnacentral:rRNA from 1 species